CCACAGCUACAUUAACGUGCGCCACUUUGCUUUCACUAACUUAGCCUACUGAUCUUUUGAUCAGCUUAUGCUUAAUUAAGGGAGUAUAGUUUAAAUAUUUUUUUAAACAUAAUAAUUGCUUGUUCGUGUUUUCCUUUACUUUUUGACUCCUGCACCCGGACAAGUGUGGCCGCCAACGAGAGAGCUUCAACGAGGACCACCGCAGUGAGUUUGCUGACCAAAGCUUCAUUGGGCCCCUGCGACCGAGAUUUAUUCAAUAUGCGGGGGGCCCCCCUUUGGGGCCCCCCGUAGAAGACUUAAGACUGGUAGCCGAGGUAUACGGAGGACGUACUCGAAGUAUUUGUCUGGGGUUCGCGGUCGGCGGUGCUCUUCUGGUCCAGCGCUUUGCAGUCGGUAUCGAUUCUGGGCUGACCACCCAUUCCUUUUGAACCUCGUCUGGUACAGCCCCACUGUGCUGUCUUGUACCAUGAUGUUGUUCUUGUGCAACCGCAGCACUUUGCUGUAGCCCAGCCUUGCUAACUUAUCUCAAGAGAUGUCACCAUGACCAUUGUGGUCCAACACUCCUGGUGUCUGGUAUCAUGUGCUAGGACAACGCCAGCUUGUGGUGACUUAUGUAGCCUGCGGUUCCUCAGUUGUUGAGCACACGAAUAGGAGAGUGAAGGGAAAAAUAUACUAUAUAUCAACCCAAGGUUCUGGAGUGUAAUAUACCAAGAACUCAAAAACGGCACAUUUUAUUUUCUGUGCAAUGAUGAAUUAUAUUUUCAUCUGUCCUUCAUAUGGGUCAAUUUUGACAGAUUGAUGGUGAAGUCGAAUGUUUGAGUGUACCAUGAGGGGCUUUGCGUUCCGACUGGUUGCUUGCUAAGGGUUGCGCUUUAAGUUUGCAACGGUAGUUUGGUAGACUUGUUUGUUCCACUUCACCGCUGUGAACUUUUAAAUUUGUACUCUUAAUAUUGCACAUAGGCCUACUUGCUUGUUUUAAGAUUGUGGCAACCCUAAACUGGUUCACUGUCAAAUUUUUCUGCAAUAGUUUCAUUCAUACGUUUUUAGAUUGAAUUUUAUCUGCAGUUUGUAAAAACAAAGACUCUUCAGUUUGGCUAAUUGGUUAGCCUAAUGUAUUCGGCGUUGGAUCAGGACUCUACCAGAACUCACUUGCCAUCGCUGAAAGACCCUCCAGCCAGAUGGUUGUUCAAUGCUGAGCGCUCUUGCUGCGAGAGAUCUGGUGCAGAUUCCCAGAAUGGCCUGAGACAACGGAUUAUCAGUUGUAACGCUGGUUAUAAAUUAUAGUUAUUGGACUGCAAAACUCUUGUGUUCUGUAGACGUUGAUGGUCUGCGGAUGAAUCUUCCCCCUACAGGGCAUUGAGGACCGAACAAAGUUGCUGUACUGAUCUACCGGGCUCAUUGACCUGUUUUUGAACUUUGAACCAUGGCGAUCCCAAUGUCUUGACAUCUGCUACUUCACGAAUAAAAACAGUUUUUUUUCUAA